AUUGAACGCUGGUGGCAGGCCUAACACAUGCAAGUCGAGCGAGCGGCGGACGGGUGAGUAAUGUCUGGGAAACUGCCUGAUGGGGGGGGAUAACUCCUGUAAACAGUAUCUACUACCGCAUACCAUCAGAUGUGCCCAGAGGGGAUUAGCUAGUAGGUGGGGUACAGGCUCACCUAGGCGACGAUCCCUAGCGGGUCUGAGAGGAUGACCAGCCACACUGGAACGUAGACACGUCCCAGACUCCUACGGGAGGCAGCAGUGGGGAAUAUUGCACAAUGGGCGCAAGCCUGAUGCAGCCAUGCCGCGUGUGUGAAGAAGGCCUUCGGGUUGUAAAGCACUUUCAGCGGGGAGGCGUUACCCGCAGAAGAAGCACCGGCUAACUCCGUGCCAGCAGCCGCGGUAAUUC
rnacentral:rRNA from 1 species